AUUGAACGCUGGCGGAAUGCUUUACGCAUGCAAGUCGAGCGGCAGCACGGGGGCAACCCUGGUGGCGAGCGGCGAACGGGUGAGUAAUACAUCGGAACAUGCCCAGUCGUGGGGGAUAACACUUCGAAAGAAGUGCUAAUACCGCAUACGUCCUGAGGGAGAAAGCGGGGGAUCUCCGGACCUCGCGCGAUUGGAGUGGCCGAUGUCAGAUUAGCUAGUUGGUGGGGUAAAGGCCUACCAAGGCAACGAUCUGUAGCUGGUCUGAGAGGAUGAUCAGCCACACUGGGACUGAGACACGGCCCAGACUCCUACGGGAGGCAGCAGUGGGGAAUUUUGGACAAUGGGGGCAACCCUGAUCCAGCCAUUCCGCGUGAGUGAAGAAGGCCUUCGGGUUGUAAAGCUCUUUCGGCAGGAACGAAACGGCGAGCUCUAACAUAGCUUGCUAAUGACGGUACCUGAAGAAGAAGCACCGGCUAACUACGUGCCAGCCGCCGCCGUAAUAC
rnacentral:rRNA from 1 species